rnacentral:rRNA from 1 species
GGGGUUUGAUCCUGGCUCAGGAUGAACGCUGGCGGCGUGCUCAACACAUGCAAGUCGAACGAACCUUCGGGUUAGUGGCGGACGGGUGAGUAACGCGUGAGAAUCUGCCCUCAGGAGGGAGAUAACAGCUGGAAACGGCUGCUAAUACCCCAUAUGCCGCGAGGUGAAAUGAAUUUCGCCUGAGGAUGAGCUCGCGUCUGAUUAGCUAGUUGGUGUGGGUAAUGGCUCACCAAGGCAUCGAUCAGUAGCUGGUCUGAGAGGAUGAUCAGCCACACUGGGACUGAGACACGGCCCAGACUCCUACGGGAGGCAGCAGUGGGGAAUUUUCCGCAAUGGGCGAAAGCCUGACGGAGCAACGCCGCGUGAGGGAUGAAGGCCUCUGGGCUGUAAACCUCUUUUAUCAAGGAAGAAGAUCUGACGGUACUUGAUGAAUAAGCCACGGCUAAUUCCGUGC